GUUCUUACAAUGUUGGACAUGGAGCAGCAACCAAAAAGAAUGUGUGUAUGUUGUAUAUAAAUAUAUUCACUGGGGAAUUUUAAUAAUAAAUAUUUCAACAUGCUUAAAACAAUACAAGUACCAAUGUUACAAUUUAAAAGCUAUAAACAUAGCUUGUCUAAGUACAAAACAUACCAUACUAUAGAAACAGGUACUGCUUCAGUAAUAAUAGCAAUAUAAUUACAAUAAUUGGGCUUUUGCCUUAUGUAAAAGUUACAGUUCCAUACGUUAUUUCUGACCCCCAGAACUUACUGCGUUUCUAUUUCUUUUCUAGAUGACUGCACACCUGCUUUUGAAGAUCAUCAACGCUCUUGCACAGGAAUCCGGUGCUGGACAUCCAGGAAAANCAUCUCCAGGCAUCCCUUCUUACUCUGUGUCACCCCUUAGCACUCUGCCAUUUUUGUGUAUGCUGCAGGUGGACUAAAUUCCUUCGAUGCAUCUCCAGACUUUCUGGGUGAUAAAGGUACUGCACCCAGACUGCAGCUAAACUCAAAAGCUCCCUGAGCCCCUAAGGGUNUCCCCGGAUAGCGAGAGGACAGGGAGGUACAGGUACAAUCCAGGCCUGUCACUGGACAUUCCAUACUCCUGAUAAGAGUCUUGGCCUCUUCAUCUCGUCUGGCAUGCCUUUGCACAAGCGCAGCACUUGCAGAAGAAGGACCCGGAUGCCGGAAGAGCCCGUCCACUUCCCUUUACAUUUUUUGCGCUCUUCCUGCAUUUGGAGGUUUGCAAGGGUAGUGAUUGGGUGAAGAAGCUGCAGACAAGGUAAGAGCCAGGAUUUGUAAAGGAAGGUUGGAAAAUCCAGGGUCAGAGUUAGAGAAAGGCUCUUGGCACCUCUGUGCUAGCCUUACUGCUNCUGGCCAUAGAGAUUANUGGGCACAGGAAGCAAGCAGAGAAAAUAAGUCAGAUGAAUCUCCAAGAGCACUUAAAAACUCUACUUCGCACCUUCACGGUGUGAAGAAUUAAUUUGCUGAAUGGCAGAUAGAAAUUANUGGGCAGAGCUGCAG
rnacentral:lncRNA from 1 species